rnacentral:rRNA from 1 species
UGUGUAGGCGGUUUGGUAAGUCUGGUGUGAAAUCUCCCGGCUCAACUGGGAGGGUGCGCCGGAAACUGCCGGACUCGAGUGCGGGAGAGGAAAGUGGAAUUCCUGGUGUAGCGGUGAAAUGCGUAGAUAUCCGCAGGAACAUCCGAGGCGAAAGCGGCUUGCUGGAUCGCAACUGACGCUGAGGGACGAAAGCUAGGGGAGCAAACAGGAUUAGAUACCCUGGUAGUCCUAGCCCUAAACCAUCAGGACUUGGGGUUUGCCCUGUACGGGGCAAGUCCCGUAGCUAACGCGUUAAGUCCUGCGCCUGGGGAGUACGGUCGCAAGGCUGAA